UCCCUGGUGGUGCAGUGGUUAAGACUCUGCACUCCUCAUGCAGGGGGUCCAGGUUCAAUCCCUGGUCAGGGAG